rnacentral:rRNA from 1 species
UAGAUCUCAAAUCAGGUA